GACUAUUCCCUGGCUGCAGCCCUCACUCUUCAUGGUCACUGGGGCCUUGGACAAGUUGUUACUGAUUAUGUUCAUGGGGAUGCCUCGCAGAAAGCUGCCAAGGCAGGGCUUUUGGCAUUUUCAGCUUUAACCUUUGCUGGGCUUUGCUAUUUCAACUAUCACGAUGUGGGCAUCUGCAAAGCUGUUGCCAUGCUGUGGAAGCUCUGACCUUUUUGACUUCCUACUUUGAAGAAUUGAUGUAUGCCUCUUUGCCUCUGCUUUGUCAUGCCAUUAAGCUCACAAUAAGGAAGAAAUAACAGAUAAGCCCAUUGGUGGACAGCCUUCUUCUCUUAAUCACAAGAUUAUUUUCAGAAUUUAAUCUUUGAGGAAAAGGUUUGAGAGGAAUUAUAUCUAAGUUGUGAGACUGAGUUCUGUAUUCUGGUGAGUUAAUGGGGUUGCCUCCCAGCUUCUUAUAAGACUCACAAUAUAACUAAACAUGAUAUAUCAGCUUUUGCCUUUUAAUUUCUCAAUCUCUUAAAGAGAAUCCAGCUUUAUUAUGAUUAGUACAUGAUCAAAUUUCCAUAUUUGCCUUGGGAAUAAUGGACAAAGGGAAAUACUCUUAAUUCAUGAAUAAAAACUUUGCAGAAAAUUAGACAGUGUUUAAUUUUCAAAAACUUCCCUCUCUAGUCAGUAGAUACCACCUACUGAUGGUUACAUAUACUAGGGAAAUUUUAAAAUUAGGAAAUGCUGCUAUCUCAUAUUAUAAAUUUCUAAAUCCUAGGAAGAAACGCUUGGAGUGCUUCUGAAGAUACAGAAGUUCCAUUUAAGGGCAAGUUUCCCCAGAGACAUAUCAAAAUAUUAUCCAUUGUAAACUGAGAUUUAAUUCUCAAAUGUAUUCUACUUGUUCUAAAACAAUCUGUCCACAAAUAUAAAACUAUAAGUAAUAAAUUGUUAUUUCCGCACAAUGGGAAUCUCUAAUGUGAAAAUGUAUUCUAUGAAAAUAAUUUUUU
rnacentral:lncRNA from 1 species